GUGUUACUUCGGUAACACAUAUACUAAAAUUGGAACGAUACAGAGAAGAUUAGCAUGGCCCCUGCGCAAG
rnacentral:snRNA from 1 species